AUGAUUUCUGUUCUGUGCUAGUGACAAAAUGAAUCUUGCGGUUGAAGACUAAGAAGAAUUAGGAAGGAUCAAAUUUCAAAGGAGAUAUAGGUUUUUCCGAGCGAUUUCCGAGGCUGUUUCACAAAGAAAGGGAAGACAGCAUCGAUGCUUGGCAAAGUGGGGGAGGAGGCAAAGGAUACGAGAGUGUGAAAAAUAAUUUCCUGCUGCUGAUAUGUGGCGGAUCGGACGAGAAGAAAAGUCCUGGCCGGGGGAUAUCAAAAUAUUAUUCGAGGGUUACCUAGGGUAGCUCCGCAUUCUCGCGCCAUAUAGGAGCCCUGUUGAAGCUAAAGUGGAUGGUUAUUGCCCUCAACCUGACCGCACAGGCUGGCACACUCGACUACCUCAUGGCGGAGAAUGUAUCUCGUUGUUUCUCAUUUUAUUGUGCAAAAAUUAUAAGACAG